rnacentral:rRNA from 1 species
AGUGACCGAUAGCGCAUAGUACUGUGAAGGAAAGGUGAAAAGGACCCCGGGAGGGGAGUGAAAGAGAACCUGAAACCCUGUGUUUACAAACUGUGGAAGUACCAUACGAGUACAACCGCGUACUUUUUGUAGAACGGUCCGGCGAGUUACGUUUACUGGCGAGGUUAAGCACUUAAGGUGCGGAGCCGAAGGGAUACCAAGUCUUAACAGGGCGUAAAGUCAGUGUACGUAGACCCGAAACCGGGUGAUCUACCCAUGUCCAGGCUGAAGUUGCCGUAAAAGGCAAUGGAGGGCCGAACGCACAUCCGUUGAAAAGGGUGGCGAUGAGGUGUGGGUAGGGGAGAAAUUCCAAUCGAACCCGGAGAUAGCUGGUUCUCCUCGAAAUAGCUUUAGGGCUAGCCUCGUGUUAACCUUGUGGAGGUAGAGCACUGAAUAUCCUAGGGGGCGUCAAAGUCUACCGAAGAUUAUCAAACUCCGAAUGCCAUAAAGGUGAUGCACGGGAGUCAGACUGCACGAGAUAAGUUGGGUGGUCAAAAGGGAAAGAGCCCAGACCUACAGCUAAGGUCCCAAAGUGCGUGUUAAGUGGAAAAGGAUGUGGGAUUUCGAAGACAACUAGGAUGUUGGCUCAGAAGCAGCCAUACAUUCAAAGAGUGCGUAAUAGCUCACUAGUCGAGAGGUCCUGCGCCGAAAAUGUCCGGGGCUAAAACACGACACCGAAGCUUAGGAAUGUAGAAAUACAUUGGUAGAGGAGCAUUGUUAGCGCAGCGAAGCUGUACCGAUAAGGAGCAGUGGAGUGCUAAGAAGAGAGAAUGCCGGAAUGAGUAGCGAGAGGAAGGUGAGAAUCCUUCCGGCCGAAUAUCCAAGGUUUCCAGAGUAAAGCUGAUCUGCUCUGGGUAAGUCGGGGCCUAAGGCGAGGUCGAAAGACGUAGUCGAUGGAUAACAGGUGGAGAUUCCUGUACUAUGUGUACCCAGAAAUGUGGGGACGCAUGUGGAGAGCACGAGCCGGGAAAGAGAAGACCGGUACAAGCGGGGUAGGAGUAAGGACAGCAAAUCUUCCUUACAAUCCGAAGACGUAAUGUGGACCGAACCAAAGUAGGGAAGCGUGUGAGCCAUGUGCCAAGAAAAGCCGCUAUUGUGAUACACAUACCCGUACCGUAAACCGACACAGGUGGAUGAGGAGAGAAUCCUAAGGCCGACGGAAGAAGCAUUGUUAAGGAACUCGGCAAAAUGACCCCGUAACUUCGGGAGAAGGGGUGCCCACGGGAGUGGGCCGCAGAGAAUAGGCUCAAGCAACUGUUUAGCAAAAACACAGGUCUAUGCGAAACCGAAAGGUGAGGUAUAUGGGCUGACGCCUGCCCGGUGCUGGAAGGUUAAGAGGAGAGGUUAGCGCAAGCGAAGCUUUGAAUUUAAGCCCCAGUAAACGGCGGCCGUAACUAUAACGGUCCUAAGGUAGCGAAAUUCCUUGUCGGGUAAG